rnacentral:rRNA from 1 species
AAGGAUCAUUACUGAAUUUGCGCUUAAUUGCGCGAAAUACACUGUGUUUUUAGUACAUUGCUUGGCGUGGCAACACGUCAAAAUUCAACAAAUAUUAUGAUUUAUUGUCAAGAUAUAUUAAUAUCAAAACUUUCAACAACGGAUCUCUUGGUUCUCGCAUCGAUGAAGAACGCAGCGAAAUGCGAUAAGUAAUAUGAAUUGCAGAUAUUCGUGAAUCAUCGAAUCUUUGAACGCACAUUGCGCCCUGUGGUAUUCCACAGGGCAUGUCUGUUUGAGCGUCAUUUCUCUUUCAAACCCAAAGGUUUGGUGGUGGAGAUUAGAUCUAUAUUAGAACUUUCUCUGAAAAUUAUUGGCGAAGUAUCAACUAUUAGGUUCUACCAACUCGUUGUAAACCUCGCCUAAAAAUACCAAAGUUUGACCUCAAAUCAGAUAGGACUACCCGCUGAACUUAA